rnacentral:piRNA from 1 species
UAGAGCAAGAAGGAGUCCUCCCCCUU